rnacentral:rRNA from 1 species
AGCUCUAGUGGUAGCAGUUUUAUUGGGCCUAAGCGUCCGUAGCCGGUUUAAUAAGUCUCUGGUGAAAUCCUGUAGCUUAACUGUGGGAAUUGCUGGAGAUACUAUUAGACUUGAGACCGGGAGAGGUUAGAGGUACUCCCAGGGUAGAGGUGAAAUUCUGUAAUCCUGGGAGGACCGCCUGUUGCGAAGGCGUCUAACUGGAACGGUUCUGACGGUGAGGGACGAAAGUUAGGGGCGCGAACCGGAUUAGAUACCCGGGUAGUCCUAACCGUAAACGAUGCGGACUUGGUGUUGGGGUGGCUUUGAGCUGCUCCAGUGCCGAAGGGAAGCUGUUAAGUCCGCCGCCUGGGAAGUACGGUCGCAAGACUGAAACUUAAAGGAAUUGGCGGGGGGAGCACCACAACGCGUGGAGCCUGCCGGUUUAAUUGGAUUCAACGCCGGACAUCUCACCAGAGGCGACAGCUGUAUGAUAGCCAGGCUGAUGACUUUGCUUGACUAGCUGAGGGGAGGUGCAUGG